GGGCUGGCUUUAGCUCAGCGGUUCCUUCGCAUUCAGCGCUCCAUGCUUAAAAUCACUCUCCAUAGGGUGGUUCGAGACCCGCGGGCGCUUUCCAGUCCUUUU
ensembl:misc_RNA Vault Vault RNA